UUAAUUGAAACCAAAAUAGAGGUCUGUCACUGUUAAUGACAUCAAUGAAUUAUUUUCCAAUUAAA
rnacentral:tRNA from 1 species